rnacentral:rRNA from 1 species
UACAGAGGGUGCGAGCGUUGUUCGGAAUUAUUGGGCGUAAAGGGCGCGUAGGCGGUGCGGUAAGUCACCUGUGAAAUCUCCUGGCUCAACUGGGAGCUUGCAGGCGAAACUGCCGUGCUGGAGUGUGGGAGAGGUGCGUGGAAUUCCCGGUGUAGCGGUGAAAUGCGUGGAUAUCGGGAGGAACACCUGUGGCGAAGGCGGUUCUCUGGGCCUUACCUGACGCUGAGGAGCGAAAGCGUGGGGAGCGAACAGG